rfam:Schistosoma margrebowiei strain Zambia genome assembly, scaffold: SMRZ_contig0005206
AAGUAAUGUCAUCAGUAUGUUGUUGAUUGAUGUUUUUUAUUUGAGAACAGGUCUGUGAUUCCAGCGAGUCUGGAAACCUGGCCCAAAAGGGUUGGGAAAACUGUUUCAUCACCGUCGUGACUAGUAUCGGGGCUUGCAAUUAUUUCCCGUGAACGAGGAAUUCCUGGUAAGUGCAAGUCAUAAGCUUGCGCUGAUUACAUCCCUGCCCUUUGUA